GCCCUGCUGGCGCAAUGGUAGCGCGCGAGACUUCUAAUCUCGAGGCUGCGGGUUCGAGUCCCGCGUGGGGUG
rnacentral:tRNA from 1 species